rnacentral:lncRNA from 1 species
AACUUGAAGCCAAGACAGGAAGCAGGAAAGGGGCUUCCAGGUCACAGCACAAAGAGGCAAAGCAGAAGCAGCAGACAGGACGUCAAAGAACCAGUGCAUGGCUGCGCCGGGCCCCGGGGCUUCCCACACGGGUUACUGUCAUCCUUCCGAAUCACUGGACUUGAAGCCCAGCAUGUUGCUGAGUUUUGCUCCAGAGACAAUUGCCAUUUGUUAUUUAAGUGACAAAGGUAACGCAUGCCGGCGGGAAGCAAUGCACAAAAUGUGAAGCUCAUACAGGAAGCUUAUUGGAGCCUCACAUCUGGAAAGCACUACAGACCGCACCGCAGACCGCACGACAGACCGCACCGCAGACCGCUCUACAGACCGGCACAUGCGCAACCCUGCCCGGCUGCUCUCCCUCCCUGCCUGGCUGCUCUCCCUCCCUGCCCAGCUGCUUUCUCUCCCUGCUGUGACCAGGCCAUUUUGGUGCAUUAUCUGUGCUCAGCGCUUUCCUCCUCUAUUUGAUGACUUUUCCAGGCAGUGGGCCUGGGGGUGAAGUCCCCUUGACCUUUGGGCUCCACCCAGGCACCUGGAGCCCCUGGGCUCUUCCCCUGCAGGGAACUGUUAGCAUCCUGCACUUUGCCCUCCUCCCAUCCUGCCCACGGGAGAUGCAGCGUGAACUCCUAGUCCUCAAAAAGGCUUAA